UGACAUGUUUCUUAAUAGCAAAGGCCUUGU
rnacentral:piRNA from 1 species